rnacentral:rRNA from 1 species
AGAGUUUGAUCAUGGCUCAGAACGAACGCUGGCGGCGUGCUUAACACAUGCAAGUCGAGUGCGCGGUGCGGGUAGCAAUACUCGUACUGGCGCACGGCGCACGGGUGCGUAACACGUGGGCAAUCUGCCCUCCGAUGGGGAAUAACUCCGGGAAACCGAAGCUAAUUCCGCAUAACAUUCCUUGGACUCCGGUUCGGGGAUUCAAAGCAGCAAUGCGUCGGAGGAGGAGCCCGCGCCUGAUUAGCUAGUUGGUGAGGUAAUGGCUCACCAAGGCAAUGAUCGGUAGCUGGUCUGAGAGGAUGGCCAGCCACACUGGAACUGAGACACGGUCCAGACUCCUACGGGAGGCAGCAGUGGGGAAUCUUGCGCAAUGGGCGAAAGCCUGACGCAGCGACGCCGCGUGGGGGAUGAAGCUUCUCGGAGUGUAAACCCCUUUCGACUGGGACGAAUGCCUCGCAAGAGGAGUGACGGUACCAGUAGAAGAAGCCCCGGCUAACUACGUGCCAGCAGCCGCGGUAAGACGUAGGGGGCCAGCGUUGUUCGGAAUUACUGGGUGUAAAGGGUUCGUAGGCGGUGUGGCAAGUCGGGAGUGAAAUCUAUGGGCUUAACUCAUAGUCUGCUUCCGAAACUGCUGUGCUGGAGUGUGGGAGAGGCGCGUGGAAUUGCAGGUGUAGCGGUGAAAUGCGUAGAUAUCUGCAGGAACACCCGUGGCGAAAGCGGCGCGCUGGACCACUACUGACGCUGAGGAACGAAAGCUAGGGGAGCAAACAGGAUUAGAUACCCUAGUAGUCC